rnacentral:rRNA from 1 species
AACGAACGCUGGCGGCAUGCCUAACACAUGCAAGUCGAACGAAGCCUUCGGGCUUAGUGGCGCACGGGUGCGUAACGCGUGGGAAUCUGCCCUUGGGUUCGGAAUAACAGUUAGAAAUGACUGCUAAUACCGAAUGAUGUCUUCGGACCAAAGAUUUAUCGCCCAAGGAUGAGCCCGCGUCGGAUUAGCUAGUUGGUGAGGUAAAGGCUCACCAAGGCGACGAUCCGUAGCUGGUCUGAGGAGGAUGAUCAGCCACACUGGGACUGAGACACGGCCCAGACUCCUACGGGAGGCAGCAGGU